rnacentral:misc_RNA from 1 species
GAUGAAGAACGCAGCGAAAUGCGAUAAGUAAUGUGAAUUGCAGAAUUCAGUGAAUCAUCGAAUCUUUGAACGCACCUUGCGCCCUUUGGCCAUUCCGAAGGGCAUGCCUGUUUGAGUAUCAUGAACACCUCAACUCUCAUGGCUUGCCAUGAUGAGCUUGGACUUUGGGGGUCUUGCUGGCCUGUGGUCGGCUUCUCUCAAAUGAAUCAGCUUGCCAGUGUUUGGUGGCAUCACAAGUGUGAUAACUAUCUGCGCUCGUGGUUUCCAUCAGAUAACCUCCAGUGAUGGAGGUUCGCUGGAGCUCAUAAAUGUCUCUCCUAAGCGAGGACAGCUCUUUUAAUGUUUGAUCUCAAAUCAGGUAGGACUACCCGCUGAACUUAAGCAUAUCAAUAAGCGGAGGA